CUUAAUAAUGCAUAAAUUAACUGAUCAUGCACUGCACCCACCGGCCAAGAGCCAAUUAUCGUGAUGCGGCCAGUUAAGCAAGGAGGAGGAAGCACGGCGCCAUGGGCUGAGCAGCUGCUGCUGCCCUCUGAACAAAUCCUACCGCUACAUCACGUCACAUAGGAAAAGGGAACAUGGCACGCAAUGCAGAUGCAAUGGCUGCCGCUUUUCUGAAGGGAUGCCGUGCUGAACUCCGAGUGAAGUGAAGAUGGAUGUACCGCCGGCGCAGCUUGUGGCUGAACUCGCCCCGGCAGGCAUCCGAAUUACAUUACUGGAACACAGCAGCUGGGAUGCUGGAUCCGGGCCGGAGGAUGGAAGGAAUCUGAGAUGGAUGGCUGCGAGCACCGAAUGCUCAUUCCGCGCACUGCACGAGUGCAUGCAUUCUCGGCACUCCCGGGCCUGCGCAGAAUCAAGCAUGUUACCACUUCUCCUCGAAUGUCAUUCAGAAUGGCAAGAGCAGGAUUUCGAUCUGAGGAAAGACGGCCAAGGAGGGGAGCAUCGUAAACCGUCCAAUCGAGAUCGAUCGAUCGAUGCAGGACUGAUCUGAAAUUCUGAAGCGUCUGCACGGCUCCGAGUUUAUUAGGG
rnacentral:lncRNA from 1 species